UACGUAGGGGGCAAGCGUUGUCCGGAUUUAUUGGGCGUAAAGAGCGUGUAGGCGGUCAGGUAGGUCCGUUGUGAAAACUCGAGGCUCAACCUCGAGACGCCGAUGGAAACCAUCUGACUAGAGUCCGGAAGAGGAGAGUGGAAUUCCUGGUGUAGCGGUGAAAUGCGCAGAUAUCAGGAAGAACACCGAUGGCGAAGGCAGGUCUCUGGGCCACUACUGACGCUGAGAAGCGAAAGCAUGGGGAGCGAACAGG
rnacentral:rRNA from 1 species